CCCCCCCCCCCCGUAACUUCUAAAAUAACAGAAUGAAAAAUCUAAUAAAAAUAUAUGAUAUACAUUGCCAUGCAAACUUCCACCGAAAAUUGGUUGGAACGAGAUCGAGUAAGUAGUUUUUUUUUUAAUACGUCAUAAAAUUAAAAAAAAAUGAUAUUUAGGUUUCUAAUAUCAUUUUUUUCUAAACUGAAUAGUUUGCGCGAGAGACACUUCCAAAGUGAAAAAAAUUGUGUCCCCCCCCCCCCCUGUAACUUCUAAAAUAACAGAAUGAAAAAUCUAAAAAAAAUAUAUGAUAUACAUUAGCAUGCAAACUUCCACCGAAAAUUAGUUUGAACGAGAUCUUGUAAGUAGUUUUUUUAAUAAGUCAUAAAAUAAAAAAAUUUUUUUCAUCAAACCCAUACGUGUGGGGUAUCUACGGAUAGGUCUUCAAAAAUGAUAUUGAGGUUUCUAAUAUGAUUUUUUUCUAAACUGAAUAGUUUGCGCGAGAGACACUUCCAAAGUGGUAAAAUGUGUGUCCAAAGUGGUAAAAUGUUGAACGAGAUCUAGUAAGUAGAUUUUUUUUAAUACGUACGUCCAUAGAUUUAUAACUAACCUAGAUGCCUAGUCUGUACAUCCCUAGUGAAGCCAUUUCGAGUACGACAUUAUGUCGCCCUCGUGUCAUCGUAUCCGAACGGCCCUCGCAGUACUCAAGGUCGAGUUGGUUUGUGUACACCUCCCGGUUAUAAAUUAAAAAAUACAAGAAAGAUGGUUGUUUGUGCGGUGAAUUGGUGUCACAACACAUCAGUGAAUAAAAACAAACCGCCUGAUAUAACAUUUCAUGCAUUUCCGACUGAUCCGCUUCUGUCUGCGAGAUGGACGGAAAAAAUUAGAUUAAAUAGGAACGAUGCAAUAUGGAAACCGACUAAACAUAGUCGAAUAUGCUCUCGCCAUUUUGAUGAGCAAGUAAAGUAAAUUUUAUUUGUGGAACACAGGUGUUACAGUUAAAGUCUGUAAAAACGAAACGCAACUGUCACUGUCGCACUUAUAUGGAAACUGAUAGAGAGACACAAGGCGUUUCGUUGUUCGAAGCAAUAGCGAUUGCCACCUUGGCUAGGCCUGCAGGUACAAUUACUAGUACUGACGAUAAAUAGUUAUUUGUUUUACAAGUGGAAAAGUUGUUGUUUAACCGCUCGUGCUAAUAUU